rnacentral:rRNA from 1 species
UAGUCUGGUGCCAGCAGCCGCGGUAAUUCCAGCUCCAAUAGCGUAUAUUAAAGUUGUUGCAGUUAAAACGCUCGUAGUCGGAUUUCGGGGCAGGGUUGCCGGUCUGCCGAUGGGUAUGCACUGGUAGAACUGUCCUUCCUUCCGGAGACGGCGCCUACUCUUAACUGAGCGGGUGUCGGAGACGGAUCGUUUACUUUGAAAAAAUCAGAGUGUUUCAAGCAGGCAGCUCGCUUUUGCAUGGAUUAGCAUGGGAUAAUGAAAUAGGACUUUGGUGCUAUUUUGUUGGUUUCGAACACCGAAGUAAUGAUUAACAGGGACAGUCAGGGGCACUCGUAUUCCGCCGAGAGAGGUGAAAUUCUUAGACCAGCGGAAGACGAACCACUGCGAAAGCAUUUGCCAGGGAUGUUUUCACUGAUCAAGAACGAAAGUUAGGGGAUCGAAGACGAUCAGAUACCGUCGUAGUCUUAACCAUAAACCAUGCCGACUAGGGAUUGGAGGAUGUUCCUAUGUGACUCCUUCAGCACCUUUCGGGAAACUAAAGUCUUUGGGUUCCGGGGGGAGUAUGGUCGCAAGGCUGAAACUUAAAGGAAUUGACGGAAGGGCACCACCAGGAGUGGAGCCUGCGGCUUAAUUUGACUCAACACGGGGAAACUUACCAGGUCCAGACAUUGUGAGGAUUGACAGAUUGAGAGCUCUUUCUUGAUUCGAUGGGUGGUGGUGCAUGGCCGUUCUU